rnacentral:lncRNA from 1 species
AUGAUACAAUGAGCCAUAUAUAUACACAUAACCUAUCAUGCUCCUAAUACAUAUUGGAUUAGGGUUAUUUUACUACUAUUUACAUAUUCUAACAGUGUACGAUGUGCCAAUUUUUUUAGCAUAAUCCAUAUAAGAGUAAUGAUUCUCUGUGUCCAAUUAAAUGGGGUUAGAUACAAGAGGGUUCUUGAGGGAACGAGAAGCUUGAGGAUCACAAGGUUUUUGGCAAACCUUAAUGUAAAUAUAAACCAGUCUCAUCUAAGUAAUGUAUUGUAUCGUAUUAUUACUUUAAAUACAAUGCUUGUUUUGAUAUUUACUUAAAUUUUACUGUAUCAUACCGUGAAAUCCGUCUUUACGUAACGAUGAAAAGUGUCACUUUAUGUAACGACCGAUUUGGUGUAGUCUCGACGUUACCUUGUCUUUUUCUCUUAUCUUGCCCUUUAUUAUUAUUAAAUAAUCCUUUAUUCUACCUGUUUAUUUUUUUGAUUUGCAUCGGGUGUCCGAGACUCUACGAGCCCUGACUAAUCUUGGGGGUGCACAGGCCCUCGGCAAGGAGUUUCCCGCAAGUGCACCACGGUUAAUUCAAGUUUUAAAGAGCCUGACUAAUCCCGGGGGUGCACAGGCCCUCGGCAAGGAGUUUCCCGCAAGUACACCGCGCGGUUAAUUCAGGUUUUACCCAGUCCGAUGGCCCUCAGAAAUUGUUUGCACCCAGUGGGUUUCGAACUUGAGACCUUAAAAGGGAGCAAACCCCAAGGCUCAAGUCAAUUGCUACUAGGCCAACCCCUAAGGGUUUUAUUCCACCUUUUUUAUAAUAAUAAUUCUACUUUGUACCAUAAAUAUUAUUUGUAACACCGCAAGUUUAUCCUUCAUAUUGCUGAUACGUGACAUCAUGAAACAAUAGCAAAUGAUACAAUAUAUCCAAAUAUUGUAUUCAUCAAACGAUACAAUACACUAUAAUACAAUACAAUAUGGUACAUUAUAAAACGAUAUGUAACAACCAUCCAAACAAGUUGGUCUGCUUCUUGAUCAUUCAGAUCUCAGUCCUUAAGUGCGUUUAUUUUUUAGAUCUUAAUCUUUAUCAUUCCGAUUUUAACCAUUAAGUCUGUUUGUUUUUUUUAAUUUUACAACCACUUAAUAGGUAUGUACUAUAACAGUGUCUUAAUAAUACAUUCGAGAAUUUAUUUAAAAACAUUUCACUAUUAUUCCUAUACUUUCACCAUUAACCACCACCUCCAUUGCUAUCGGCGUCCUCCACAUCGUAGACGACCACCCACUGCCGACUAUUCAUUACCACCAUCCUCGGCCAUAACUACCAUUGUUAUCAAGCACGAAUGUUAGUCGUUACUACCAUUAGCCAUCAUUUACAACCAUCACUAAUAACCACAAUUAUUACAACAAUCGGUAAUAACCACUAUCAACCACCACUAUCUAUCACUCAUCACCAUUAUCAGUCACCAACUCACCACCACCAUCAACCACCACAGUGUACUACUACUGUCAUCCACCGUUUACUGCCGAUAAGUACCACUAUCAACCAAUAUCACUACUAGACAUUACCCGGUCGGCACCUACAACCAUUACUAUUAGCCACCACCACCACCAACAAUAUAAUUUUUUAAUAGCAUUUUAUUAAUAUAGUAUUAGAUUAAUUAGUACUAUUUGAUUUGAAUUUUUUUUUUUUUGCACCGGGUGUUCGAGUCUCUAUGAGCCCCGACUAAUCCCGGGGAUGCACAGGCCAUCAGCAAGGAGUUUCCCGCAAGUGAACCACGAUUUUAAUUCAGGUUUUACCCAGUCCGAUGGCCCUCAGAAAUUGUUUGCACCCAGUGGGUUACGAACUUGAGACCUUGAAAGGGAGCAUAUCCCAAGGCUCAAGUCAAUUGCCAUCAGGCCAACCCAUGAGGGUUACU